AACGAACGCUGGCGGCGUGCCUAACACAUGCAAGUCGAACGAGAAAGGGGCUUCGGCUCCGAGUAAAGUGGCGCACGGGUGAGUAACACGUGGGUAACCUGCCUCUAAGACUGGGAUAACUCGUCGAAAGAUGAGCUAAUACCGAAUAAGACCACAGUUCCCGCGGGAACAGGGGUCAAAGGUAGCCUCUGCUUGCAAGCUAUCACUUAGAGAUGGGCCUGCGCACCAUUAGCUAGUUGGUAGGGUAACGGCCUACCAAGGCAAAGAUGGUUAGCUGGUCUGAGAGGAUGAUCAGCCACACUGGAACUGAGACACGGUCCAGACUCCUACGGGAGGCAGCAGUGGGGAAUAUUGCGCAAUGGGCGAAAGCUUGACGCAGCAACGCCGCGUGAGUGAUGAAGGCCUUCGGGUCGUAAAGCUCUGUCGGGAGGAACGAAUGCUCCUGAGGUUAACAGCCUCGGGAGGUGACGGUACCUUCAAAGGAAGCACCGGCUAACUCUGUG
rnacentral:rRNA from 1 species